CACAGAUAAUGAGCACUGGUUCGUUGUCUCCUAUCGUUUUAGCCCUAUCUCUACUGACGCCAAAACUACACCUGAUCGUAGUGCCUCUAGCGGAUAAGCUGGUGUACUGCAUUAGGGAAACGAAGAAAAUAAAGUAUAUUAGUAUUCGUCUUGCAGACGUAUAUUACUUCUGAUGAAUGAAAACAAGUUUGUUAUUUCUAGAUAAUUAAAACAAACCUCAAAAGUUCCUAAUCAGGGGGAGUUGUAUCGGUUUACAUAACGGUGGACAGCUUCUUAUGACCUUAGGGCCAAUUCAUCCAUACCGAAAUGGCAAUCGGAUGAACUUAUAAGCUUCCUAAUCGUAGACGGUGCAGGGAGCGGAAGCAUCUUGUUGUUUCUUAGAUGCUUGUAUGCUGCAUUGUUCUUCAUCUUUAACAUUAGUGCUUCCAGGAGAAAAGAGGCCUCAUAUCGCAUUCCUUUGCCAUGCUUUUCUUUCUUCAAGGCUUUUCCAUGUGCAAAAAAUGUCCGUAUAACGGACUGUUGCUGUUAAUGAAAAUAGUUGUAGCAUUAGGGAUUAGGAAUUGUUGUAUUAUUUUAAUUGCAAAAUACAAUUGGUCAAAAACAUGA